GAAUAAGAAGCGAAGUAUUGCAUUCAGUUUCGACCUGAAAUAUUGGUAAUAUAACUACCCUUAUUCU
rnacentral:tRNA from 1 species